GAAGCACCGGCUAACUCCGUGCCAGCAGCCGCGGUAAUACGGAGGGUGCGAGCGUUAAUCGGAAUUACUGGGCGUAAAGCGCAUGCAGGCGGCCUGUUAAGUCAGAUGUGAAAGCCCGGGGCGUUAACCUCGGAAUUGCAUUUGAAACUGGCAGGCUAGAGUCUUGUAGAGGGGGGUAGGAAUUUCAGGUGUAGCGGUGAAAUGCGUAGAGAUCUGAAGGAAUACCAGUGGCGAAGGCGGCCCCCCUGGACAAAGACUGACGCUCAGAUGCGAAAGCGUGGGGAGCAAACAGGAUUAGAUACCCUGGUAG
rnacentral:rRNA from 1 species